AACGAACGCUGGCGGCAGGCUUAACACAUGCAAGUCGAACGCCCCGCAAGGGGAGUGGCAGACGGGUGAGUAACGCGUGGGAAUCUACCCAACUCUACGGAAUAACUCAGGGAAACUUGUGCUAAUACCGUAUACGCCCUUCGGGGGAAAGAUUUAUCGGAGUUGGAUGAGCCCGCGUUGGAUUAGCUAGUUGGUGGGGUAAAGGCCUACCAAGGCGACGAUCCAUAGCUGGUCUGAGAGGAUGAUCAGCCACAUUGGGACUGAGACACGGCCCAAACUCCUACGGGAGGCAGCAGUGGGGAAUAUUGGACAAUGGGCGCAAGCCUGAUCCAGCCAUGCCGCGUGAGUGAUGAAGGCCCUAGGGUUGUAAAGCUCUUUCACCGGUGAAGAUAAUGACGGUAACCGGAGAAGAAGCCCCGGCUAACUUCGUGCCAGCAGCCGCGGUAA
rnacentral:rRNA from 1 species